AUUGAACGCUGGCGGCAGGCCUAACACAUGCAAGUCGAGCGAGCGGCGGACGGGUGAGUAAUGUCUGGGAAACUGCCCGAUGGAGGGGGGUAACUACUGGAAACGGUAGCUAAUACCGCAUACUAUCAGAUGAGCCCAGAUGGGAUUAGCUAGUAGGUGGGGUAACGGCUCACCUAGGCGACGAUCCCUAGCUGGUCUGAGAGGAUGACCAGCCACACUGGAACUGAGACACGGUCCAGACUCCUACGGGAGGCAGCAGUGGGGAAGAUUGCACAAUGGGCGAAAGCCUGAUGCAGCCAUGCCGCGUGUGUGAAGAAGGCCUUCGGGUUGUAAAGCACUUUCGGCGGGGAAGCGGUAUCCGCAGAAUAAGCACCGGCUAACUACGUGCCAGCAGCCGCGGUAAUAC
rnacentral:rRNA from 1 species